GUCAUCACCUCCUAUGCCAUGGGCACUUUUCAUUCUACUUCAGAGCGCCAUCUCAAUCUACUCCUUGAACAAGGGCACCAGCGCCCUGAGCCCCAAGCUCAGCCUCACCAGCACUGUCGUCACCACCAUCACAAGUAAGUUAAAAACCGGUUCCUAAAUAAUACUUUUAGGCACAC
rnacentral:rRNA from 1 species